GAUGAACGCUGGCGGCGUGCCUAAUACAUGCAAGUCGAGCGAACAGACGAGGAGCUUGCUCCUCUGACGUUAGCGGCGGACGGGUGAGUAACACGUGGAUAACCUACCUAUAAGACUGGGAUAACCUCGGGAAACCGGAGCUAAUACCGGAUAAUAUAUUGAACCGCAUGGUUCAAUAGUGAAAGACGGUUUUGCUGUCACUUAUAGCUGGAUCCGCGCCGCAUUAGCUAGUUGGUAAGGUAACGGCUUACCAAGGCAACGAUGCGUAGCCGACCUGAGAGGGUGAUCGGCCACACUGGAACUGAGACACGGUCCAGACUCCUACGGGAGGCAGCAGUAGGGAAUCUUCCGCAAUGGGCGAAAGCUUGACGGAGCAACGCCGCGUGAGUGAUGAAGGUCUUCGGAUCGUAAAACUCUGUUAUUAGGGAAGAACAAAUGUGUAAGUAACUAUGCACGUCUUGACGGUACCUAAUCAGAAAGCCACGGCUAACUACGUG
rnacentral:rRNA from 1 species